AUUGAACGCUGGCGGCAGGCCUAACACAUGCAAGUCGAGCGGAUGAACUUGUCUUGCUCCUGGCUUCAGCGGCGGUCGGGUGAGUAAUGCCUAGGAUUCUUUCUGGUUGUGUGGGAUAACGUUCGGCUACUGGCGCUUAUACCGCAUACGUCCUGAGGGAGAAUGUCGGGGAUCUUCGGACCUCACGCUUUCAGAUUAGCCUAGGUCGGAUUAGCUAGUUGGUGGGGUAAAGGCCUACCAAGGCGACGAUCCGUAACUGGUCUGAGAGGAUGAUCAGUCACACUGGAAGAGAGACACGGCAGAGACACCGACGGGAGGAAGCAGUGGGGAAUAUUGGACGAUGGGGGAAAGGCUGAUACAGCAAUGCCGCGUGUGUGAAGAAGGUCUUCGGAUGGUAAAGCAAUGUAAGUUGGGAGGAAGGGCAGUAAGUUAAUACCGUGCUGUAUUGACGUUACCAACAGAAUAAGCACCGGCUAACUUCGUG
rnacentral:rRNA from 1 species